UUCUGUCUUUCCCAUCUUGCAUUAAACAAAAUCAAGGACUUUUUCUUACAGGCCAGUUCUAGGAAAAUGGAAAGUAAAAUGCUUAUUGUGGCCAAAAUUCAGAAACAUAAGGGAUAGGAGAACAUCAGGAAUCAAUUUAAAUUCUGGAGCAUCAUGAUAUGGAGGCAGAGGAACUGUGGAAUGAACUUAAAGAAGUUGUUAAGGGUAACUGUGAAAAGAGCCUGCCAAAGACCAAGAAACAGAAGGCAAACUGAUGUCAGAACAAAUGAUGGAAAUUGCCAAGAGUAGAGAAGCCAAAAGUAUGAAAGACAAAGAAAAGAACUUAACAAAGUGUUUCAGAAAGCUGUUAGAAAGACAAGAAGCAGUAUUAUGAAAACAUCUGUAAAGAAUUAAAAUCAAAAACACACAAAGAAACAAGGAAAGUCUUCCAAAAAAUUUCUGAACUCAGAGGAGCAUGCCAACUCAAAUUAGUAUGAUAAAGAAUGCCAAUGGGGAGAUAGUAAUUUAUUCCAAGAAAAUUAAAGAUAGGAGGAAUAUA